CUCCGGUCUACAGCUCCCAGCAAGAUCGACACAGAAGAUGGGUGAUUUCUGCAUUUCCAACUGAGUGGGCAGCUGCACUGCAAACCCCACAGCUAAACAGCAUUAUUUAAUGAAAGAAUGGAGGCUGGUGGAAGAGGACACUCUUGUGAGGUCUACAGUGCUGAGACUAGAUAGAUCCUAAGCAGAGGCAAGAAGGAUAUACAGUCAUAGCAGGAUUCAAUUUGGCGGCAACAGUGCUUCUUGCAACAGCACCGAAUUCCUCAUUUGGUUACUGUGGAGCUUCCAGAAAUUUUGCUAGUGCUGAUUUUAGGUGCCAGCUUGCCAUAGCUUCAGGGCACUCUAGAUUUGGAGCAUUGGAGGGAAGAAGAGAAAGGUAUUCAGCAGCAUUACUCAGUCAACAUGUCCUGACGGUGUGUGGAGUGACCUUCUAGAUUUUGUGGGGAGUGAUGAUGGCAAUAUUUCCUGGAGAAGCACGCUCAAUAAAGGAGAAAUGGGAUUAACACAACUGACAAAACUGCACUAAGUGAUUGGAAAGUAGGAAGCGUGUGGGCAAAUGAAUAGGCUACUGGCCUGACUAAACCAGGAAAUCUCAGGCAGCACUGGAGUUCUGAAAGAAUUAAGGGGUGUGGCUGGUGGAAAGCUGACAAAACUCCCUCAGAGGGGGCAAUAGCAUGGAUAUGAAAUAGAAAUAAGCUAAAAAUAUUUAUUGUGUCCAUUGUACUAUAUACCAGUCAUUAAAAACAUGUGAAAUAGAGACAUUUUUAUAAGCUUGUAGGAGAAUAUUAUAUGCUCUCAUGGAAGAAAGACAACAUAUUAUAGUCAUUCAAAAAUGGAUGUCAAGUAAUAUAGUGAAUAUAGAUACCCAAUUGCAGAGGUAAAGCUGAAUUGUGUAGAAAGAGCUUUAGAGUUGGGUCAGGUGACAGAGAUAAAGGGAGAAAUGCUCUAUGAUAUGACUUAUAGAUGAAGUCUGGGGAUAAUAGAAAUAUUCUAGGAACGGGAUGAUGGUGAAUAUAUUGCUGCUCGUGAAGACAAUUCUAAUAAAAAAAUGCGUGGCUUGGAAAACAUACUUGCUUAGUUAGAUGCCUUGUUUGGACUAUGAUGAUAAAUUAGGUGGAUUCGUUAGGCAAUACACUUGACUUUAUAAAUAACCAACUGUAAAAUCUAAACAUUUACAUAAAUUUAUCAUGACUGUCUUAACAUGUGUUGUGUGCUUCUGAGUUUUCCGCUUCUCUUCCAUUUUGCCAAAUGAAAAAUCUGUCUCAAAUCCAAUUCUCCUACCGCUCUCUAAAGUGUUUGACCCUACAGCAGUCUU